rnacentral:rRNA from 1 species
GAUGAACGCUAGCGGCAGGCUUAAUACAUGCAAGUCGAGGGCUCAGCAAUGGGACCGGCGAACGGGUGCGUAACGCGUAUGCAACCUACCUACAUCAGGGGGAUAGCCCUAGGAAACUGGGAUUAACACCGCAUAAUAUUAUUAAUGGCAUCAUUGAUAAUUGAAAUAUUUAUAGGAUGUAGAUGGGCAUGCGUAGGAUUAGCUAGUUGGUAAGGUAACGGCUUACCAAGGCUACGAUCCUUAGGGGCUCUGAGAGGAGUAUCCCCCACACUGGCACUGAGAUACGGGCCAGACUCCUACGGGAGGCAGCAGUAGGGAAUAUUGGGCAAUGGAGGCAACUCUGACCCAGCCAUGCCGCGUGCAGGAAGACGGUCCUCUGGAUUGU